AGAGUUUGAUCAUGGCUCAGGAUGAACGCUGGCGGCGUGCCUAACACAUGCAAGUCGAGCGAUCUUCUUCGGAAGAGAGCGGCGGACGGGUGAGUAACGCGUGGGUAACCUGCCUCAUACACAUGGAUAACAUACCGAAAGGUAUGCUAAUACAAGAUGAUAUAAGAGAUUCGCAUGAAUUUCUUAUCAAAGCUCCGGCGGUAUGAGAUGGACCCGCGUCUGAUUAGCUAGUUGGUAAGGUAACGGCUCACCAAGGCAACGAUCAGUAGCCGACCUGAGAGGGUGAUCGGCCACAUUGGAACUGAGACACGGUCCAAACUCCUACGGGAGGCAGCAGUGGGGAAUAUUGCACAAUGGGCGAAAGCCUGAUGCAGCAACGCCGCGUGAGCGAUGAAGGCCUUCGGGUCGUAAAGCUCUGUCCUCAAGGAAGAUAAUGACGGUACUUGAGGAGGAAGCCCCGGCUAACCACGUGCCAGCAGCCGCGGUAAUACGUAGGGGGCUAGCGUUAUCCGGAUUUACUGGGCGUAAAGGGUGCGUAGGUGGUUUCUUAAGUCAGGAGUGAAAGGCUACGGCUUAACCGUAGUAAGCUCUUGAAACUGGGAAACUUGAGUGCAGGAGAGGAAAGUGGAAUUCCUAGUGUAGCGGUGAAAUGCGUAGAUAUUAGGAGGAACACCAGUAGCGAAGGCGGCUUUCUGGACUGUAACUGACACUGAGGCACGAAAGCGUGGGGAGCAAACAGGAUUAGAUACCCUGGUAGUCCACGCCGUAAACGAUGAGUACUAGGUGUCGGGGGUUACCCCCCUCGGUGCCGCAGCUAACGCAUUAAGUACUCCGCCUGGGGAGUACGCUCGCAAGAGUGAAACUCAAAGGAAUUGACGG
rnacentral:rRNA from 1 species